rnacentral:rRNA from 1 species
GACGAACGCUGGCGGCGUGCCUAAUACAUGCAAGUCGAACGCACUCUCGUUUAGAUUGAAGGAGCUUGCUCCUAAUUGAUAAACAUUUGAGUGAGUGGCGGACGGGUGAGUAACACGUGGGUAACCUGCCCUAAAGUGGGGGAUAACAUUUGGAAACAGAUGCUAAUACCGCAUAAACCUAACACCGCAUGGUGUAGGGUUGAAAGAUGGUUUCGGCUAUCACUUUAGGAUGGACCCGCGGUGCAUUAGUUAGUUGGUGAGGUAAAGGCUCACCAAGACCGUGAUGCACAGCCGACCUGAGAGGGUAAAUCGGCCACACUGGGACUGAGACACGGCCCAGACUCCUA